UGACUGAACCCUCUGGAGACCAUGAAUGGAGUGAGAGAUCCACUUCAUUCUUACAACAGACAGCAAGUGACCUGACUGAACCCUCUGGAAACCAAGAAUGGAGUGAGAGAUCCACUUCAUCCUUACAACAGACAUCAAGUGACAGGUACCUGACUGAACCCUCUGGAAACCAAGAAUGGAGUGAGAGAUCCACUUCAUCCUUACAACAGACACCAAAUGACCUGACUGAACCCUCUGGAGACCAUGAAUGGAGUGAGAGAUCCACUUCAUUCUUACAACAGACACCAAGUGACCUGACUGAACCCUCUGGAAACCAAGAAUGGAGUGAGAGAUCCACUUCAUCCUUACAACAGACAUCAAGUGACAGGUACCUGACUGAACCCUCUGGAAACCAAGAAUGGAGUGAGAGAUCCACUUCAUCCUUACAACAG